rnacentral:rRNA from 1 species
GACGAACGCUGGCGGCGUGCUUAACGCAUGCAAGUCGAACGGAAAGGCCCUGCUUUUGUGGGGUGCUCGAGUGGCGAACGGGUGAGUAACACGUGAGUAACCUGCCCUUGACUUUGGGAUAACUUCAGGAAACUGGGGCUAAUACCGGAUAGGAGCUCCUGCUGCAUGGUGGGGGUUGGAAAGUUUCGGCGGUUGGGGAUGGACUCGCGGCUUAUCAGCUUGUUGGUGGGGUAGUGGCUUACCAAGGCUUUGACGGGUAGCCGGCCUGGGAGGGUGACCGGCCACAUUGGGACUGAGAUACGGCCCAGACUCCUACGGGAGGCAGCAGUGGGGAAUAUUGCACAAUGGGCGGAAGCCUGAUGCAGCAACGCCGCGUGCGGGAUGACGGCCUUCGGGUUGUAAACCGCUUCCGCCUGUGACGAAGCGUGAGUGACGGUAAUGGGUAAAGAAGCACCGGCUAACUACGUG